AUUGAACGCUGGCGGCAGGCCUAACACAUGCAAGUCGAGCGAGCGGCGGACGGGUGAGUAAUGUCUGGGAAACUGCCUGCUGGAGGGGGAUAACUACUGGAAACGGUAGCUAAUACCGCAUACCAUCAGAUGUGCCCAGGUGGGAUUUGCUAGUAGGUGGGGUAACGGCUCACCUAGGCGACGAUCCCUAGCUGGUCUGAGAGGAUGACCAGCCACACGGGAACUGAACCACGGUCCAGCCUCCAACGGGAGGCAGCAGUGGGGAAUAGUGCACAAUGGGCGCAAGCCUGAUGCGGCCAUGCCGCGUGUGUGAAGAGGGCCUUCGGGUUGUAAAGCCCGUUGAGCGGGGAGGCGUUACCCACAGAGGAGGCACCGGCUAACGCCGUGCCAGCCGCCACGGUAAUAC
rnacentral:rRNA from 1 species